CCUACGGGGCGCAGCAGUGGGGAAUAUUGCACAAUGGGGGAAACCCUGAUGCAGCGACGCCGCGUGAGUGAAGAAGUAUUUCGGUAUGUAAAGCUCUAUCAGCAGGGAAGCAAAUGACGGUACCUGAGUAAGAAGCCCCGGCUAACUACGUGCCAGCAGCCGCGGUAACACGUAGGGGGCAAGCGUUAUCCGGAUUUACUGGGUGUCAAGGGAGCGUAGACGGCAGCACAAGUCUGGAGUGAAAUGCCGGGGCUUAACCCCGGAACUGCUUUGGAAACUGUGCAGCUAGAGUGCAGGAGGGGUAAGUGGAAUUCCUAGUGUAGCGGUGAAAUGCGUAGAUAUUAGGAGGAACACCAGUGGCGAAGGCGGCUUACUGGACUGUAACUGACGUUGAGGCUCGAAAGCGUGGGGAGCAAACAGGAUUAGAUACCCGAGUAGUC
rnacentral:rRNA from 1 species